GAUGAACGCUAGCUACAGGCUUAACACAUGCAAGUCGCGGGGCAGCAUGUCGGUUGCUUGCAACCGAUGAUGGCGACCGGCGCACGGGUGAGUAACGCGUAUCCAACCUGCCCUUCACCACGGAAUAAUCCAGUGAAAAUUGGUCUAAUACCGUAUGAGGUCAUACGAUGGCAUCAGAAUAUGACGAAAGGUUUGGCGGUGAAGGAUGGGGAUGCGUCUGAUUAGCUUGUUGGUGAGGUAACGGCUCACCAAGGCGACGAUCAGUAGGGGUUCUGAGAGGAAGGUCCCCAAACUUGGAACUGAGACACCGUCCAAACUCCUACGGGAGGCAGCAGUGAGGAAUAUUGGUCGAUGGGCGAGAGCCUGAACCAGCCAAGUAGCGUGCAGGAAGACGGCCCUAUGGGUUGUAAACUGUUUUUAUAUGGAAAUAAAGUGAGCUACGUGUAGUUUAUUGCAGGUACCAUAUGAAUAAGGACCGGCUAAUUCCGUGCCAGCCGCCGCCGUAA
rnacentral:rRNA from 1 species